UACGGAGGGGGCAAGCGUUGUCCGGAUUUAUUGGGCGUAAAGAGCGUGUAGGCGGCCAAGCAGGUCCGCUGUGAAAACUCGAGGCUCAACCUCGAGACGUCGGUGGAAACCGUUUGGCUAGAGUCCGGAAGAGGAGAGUGGAAUUCCCGGUGUAGCGGUGAAAUGCGCAGAUAUCGGGAAGAACACCCGUGGCGAAGGCGGCUCUCUGGGACGGUACUGACGCUGAGACGCGAAAGCGUGGGGAGCGAACAGG
rnacentral:rRNA from 1 species